rnacentral:rRNA from 1 species
AUUGAACGCUGGCGGCAUGCCUUACACAUGCAAGUCGAACGGUAACAGGUCUUCGGAUGCUGACGAGUGGCGAACGGGUGAGUGAUACAUCGGAACGUGCCCGAUCGUGGGGGGAUAACGCAGCGAAAGCUGUGCUAAUACCGCAUACGAUCUACGGAUGAAAGCGGGGGAUCGCAAGACCUCGCGCGGACGGAGCGGCCGAUGGCAGAUUAGGUAGUUGGUGGGAUAAAAGCUUACCAAGCCGACGAUCUGUAGCUGGUCUGAGAGGACGACCAGCCACACUGGGACUGAGACACGGCCCAGACUCCUACGGGAGGCAGCAGUGGGGAAUUUUGGACAAUGGGCGCAAGCCUGAUCCAGCCAUGCCGCGUGCAGGAUGAAGGCCUUCGGUUGUAACUGCUUUGUACGGUAACGAAAAAGACUACUCUCUAAUACAGGGGUGAAGUGACGGUACCGUAAGAA